UGUAUUACUCUUUGAGCUGGGGAAAAAAUGUGUGUGAGAAUAUUCCACUAAGAAGUCCCCCCUCCUCUUCAACUAGUUUAGACAUUGUGAAUGCACCAACCUCUUCAUCAGCUCCUUCAAGUUGGCCAGAGACAUUUCAGAUUCCCUGGGACCAAAUGAUGAGUGAACUGCAGUAGUAGUGGGAAAAGACCACUCCCACCUGUCCGUAGAAAAAUGAUCAGGAUUCUAGUUGAUGAAAUGAGGAAAAAUGAAAAAAAGUCCGACUAAAGCCCAACGCCUCACUGUUGCUCUUAAACUAGUCAAACGAUAUCCAAAGAGUUUAGCAGAUUAUGACAACCCAGGAUCCAUUUCUGAACCAGGAUGCUACUCCAUAUUGAAACAAAUGAAAACACGGGUUGAACAUGUAAAUAGAAACACAUUGCAGCAGGCAGACGACGUUCAGGUGGCAUUUCAGAAAAUGCUAGGAUCAGAAAGCAGAGGGCCAGCAGUGACUUAUGGAAGCAGCAGAUGGCAACCUGAGCCACUGCUUUCAGAGAGCGAUGAUAUAUUAGAAGACAAAAGACUUUACUAAACAUUUAUCACCAGUACGGCCACAGUGGAGCAGACAGAGCUGAUGUCUGGGCUUUAAUGAAGGAAACCUGUUAUUUACAAAGAAAGCAUAGAAAUGACACACAGGAGCCUCCUAUUAAAGAAAUAAAUACAAGCGGCCAUACUUGUUGGUGCAGAAGCACCUCACGGCACAUUUUGAAGAACUUACUGGUGUUAAUGCACAAAAUCACCUCAGCCGUGCAAUGGAGGACUUUGGCACUCUACUUAUUGACUUUUUUAGAAACAAAGCAACAAAUGAAGAAAUGAAAAGCCUAUUGUCAGCUGAUGAAGAGCUUGGGUUCAUGGUGGCCAAGCUUCUCCUCGCACAUUUCCAAGAACAUCAGGAUGGGCUUCUGCUUUAUGCAGAUAGGUGUGCUACAGCUGCUGAUGUUGAAGGAACUCACAAUCUGCCAUCAAGUCCACGACUCAUUGUCCUUGGAGACACCAAUAGUCUUCAGCAUUGGAUGGUAAGCCUGGAGGCUGAAGUGGUUUGUGAAGCACACAGCCUACAUUCCUGGCUGCUCUCGCUGCACUUUCUGCAGUGUUUUUGAUUUUUAACCUGGAGUAUCCGCAUGAGGCCACAUGUACACUGGAGUUUAUCCAAAGCUGAGAACAAGUUCACUAAUCCUUUUGUAAGAAGAUCUAGAAGAAUGAAGAAACACUGAGCUAUAUAUCCCCCGUCUGUUUUCAGACGAUUCAUCGGCCUCAACCCAGA